rnacentral:lncRNA from 1 species
CUUGUCCGGUUGACGCAUAUAACUAUAGUAGCAGUGGUCACUUGUAUAUCUUCAGUUCUUUCGUUACAUUGUCUUGCUACUAUAGUCUUGUUACAUGUAUACAUUCAGUUGUUCAUUACAGUAGCGGUAGUUGUACUUUCUUUCAUAUAUAUGUCUCUUUCAUUCAUUGUUAUUGCGACUGUAUUUUCUACUGACCCGCACUGUUGUUUAGCUCUUCCUGAUCCGGUGAGUACUCCUCGCCUUCAUCGGCUUGCGGUACCCACUGGGAGGGGAGACAUGUUUACAUGUUCUCACCUCCCCCACCAUUUUUCAGGUAUUUCAGGCGAUGAGUUUUGGGACGAGACGUGAGGUACGUUCGUAGCGGUCGAUAGAGCUUCCGACCCAGGUUAUCGAUUUAGUUUUUAUCCUUACUAUUCUGUUGUUAUAGCUUAGUUAGUUUAUAUGGUUCAGUUAGAUGAUCAUACUUGAUAUUUGAAUGUUGUGAGCUGGUUGAAUUUGUGGAUUUGUGGAAUUGUGGAUUUGGUUUAUGGACCUUCAGUUUUGGGAUGUUUGUAUACUUUGUGGUUCUCGGAUUUGUAUUUAUGGAUUUACGCAUCGUGGUUUUCUACCCCUCGAGGUAGUCGGUUUUCACAAUAGAGUUUCCGUGUGGGAAACAGUUUUCAAAAGGUUUUCAAAUGAUUUUUCAUGAUGAAUGAAUUAGAGUUCAAAAAUAAAAGCUUCUGUGUGGGGAGCACUUUUAAAUAGGAUGGUUGUUGUAUUGUGCAUUGCAUCAUCCAGCGCCUAAGGAGUGCUUAGAGGCAUGCAUCAUUCUAAGGAUUGUUAGCUGUAUGGAAAUGCAUAUCAUGAAUUGGUUGCUGAUUGGUAAUGUAGGUUGUGGUUGUGAUCCUGUUGUAUCCGUUGGUACGCCGUGCAGAUACAAAGGAGACUCUGCGCGAGUGGACAGAGGAACUUUGUAUUUGUGGCGGGUCUGUACGUCACGUGGGCCAGGUUUUUCAAAAAAAAAAAUUUGGUACAUCUUCCGCG